GGUUUCAUAGUGUAGUGGUCAUCAUGUCUGCUUUAUACGCCGAAGGCCCUGGGUUCAUUCCCCAGUGAAAGCA